rnacentral:rRNA from 1 species
CCUACGGGUGGCAGCAGUGAGGAAUAUUGGUCAAUGGGAGGAAUCCUGAACCAGCCAUGCCGCGUGAAGGACGACGGCUCUACGAGCUGUAAACUGCUUUUGUACCGGGGUAAAAUGACCUACGAGUCGGGUUUUGAAAGUACGGUACGAAUCAGGAUCGGCUAACUCCGUGCCAGCCGCCGAGGUAAUAUGGAGGAUCCGAGCGUUAUCCGGUUUCAUUGGGUUUAAAGGGUGCGUAGGUGGUUUUAUAAGUUAGCGGUGAAAUACCGAUGCUCAACAUCGGGGCGGCAGCUGAUACUGUGAGACUAGAGAGCAGAUGCGGCGGGUGGAAUGUGAGGUGUAGCGGUGAAAUGCGUAGAUAUAACACAGAACACCGGUUGCGAAGGCAUCUCACGAAUCCGCGAUUGACGCUGAGGCACGAAAGCGUGGGUAUCAAACAGGAUUAGAUACCCGAGUAGUC